rnacentral:rRNA from 1 species
GUGGGUAGUUUGACUGGGGCGGUCUCCUCCCAAAGAGUAACGGAGGAGCACGAAGGUUAGCUAAUCCUGGUCGGACAUCAGGAGGUUAGUGCAAUGGCAUAAGCUAGCUUGACUGCGAGCGUGACGGCGCGAGCAGGUGCGAAAGCAGGUCAUAGUGAUCCGGUGGUUCUGAAUGGAAGGGCCAUCGCUCAACGGAUAAAAGGUACUCCGGGGAUAACAGGCUGAUACCGCCCAAGAGUUCAUAUCGACGGCGGUGUUUGGCACCUCGAUGUCGGCUCAUCACAUCCUGGGGCUGAAGUAGGUCCCAAGGGUAUGGCUGUUCGCCAUUUAAAGUGGUACGCGAGCUGGGUUUAGAACGUCGUGAGACAGUUCGGUCCCUAUCUGCCGUGGGCGCUGGAGAAUUGAGGGGGGCUGCUCCUAGUACGAGAGGACCGGAGUGGACGCAUCACUGGUGUUCGGGUUGUCAUGCCAAUGGC